rnacentral:rRNA from 1 species
ACUCCUACGGGAGGCAGCAGUGGGGAAUAUUGCACAAUGGGCGCAAGCCUGAUGCAGCCAUGCCGCGUGUAUGAAGAAGGCCUUCGGGUUGUAAAGUACUUUCAGUCAGAUGAGGAAGGUUGGAGUCGUUAAUAGCGGCCUCAUUUUGACGUUAGCUGCAGAAGAAGCACCGGCUAACUCCGUGCCAGCAGCCGCGGUAAUACGGAGGGUGCGAGUGUUAAUCGGAAUUACUGGGCGUAAAGCGCAUGCAGGUGGUUUGUUAAGUCAGAUGUGAAAGCCCGGGCUCAAGCC